GCAAGUUCUGAGUAAAUCAAAACAAGUUUAUUCACAAUGAGAAAAUCAAUUAAGUCUGUUAAGAACUAGAUAUUGAGAGGCCUGAACUGUGACAGUGGGGAGGAAGCAAAAGAGAACCAAGCAGCAUCCACAGGUGGUGACUGCUGGUAACGACCCAAAAGGCCCGCAAGCUGAGAGUCCUCCUGCUUGCCACAAACCUUGAGACGGAGUUAGUCUGUCCCUGAUAAGGAAAAGCUAUGCCUGUGAGGAAGAAGUUUGGAUUAAAAAAGCUACAAAGGUAAAAUAAUUUGGAAAUGAACCCUUAACAGUGUUGGAGGAUGGGGAGAUAGAUGGGAGAGGAUGGGAAGGAAACAGACGAUGGUGAAGCUGCCAGGCCCAGUGCCCUCUCUGUAACAAUGUCACCAAACUGCCUGAGAAUUGAAGAGGAUCCUGUUUGCCUGAACUUAGAAAACACAAAGUUGGAUAGCCUGCCUGUUGAUGCUUUUUUUCCUUGCUUUUGCCUCCUAAAUACAUUGAAUACUUUUCAAAGAAAAAAGAGAAAUUGGAUUUGGAGUCAUCUGUAUGGCCAUGGGCAAGUCUCUUCACCUCUUCUGGGCCUUAGUUUACGUGUAUAAAGGAGGAGGUGGACAGGAUGAACUCCAAAUUCCCUCCUAUUCUAAAUCUUCUGUGACCUGUGGACAUUCUGGCAACGUUUCCAUUUUGAAAAGCAGCUAAAACAAUCCCCAGCCUCGUUGAAGAUCAUCACAUUUAAGUUUGGAUAAUCCCCAUAAUCAUCAUCUUCAUCAUCACUGUACUGACCAAGAGCAUUCACCAACUCCACAAAAAUCUCAUCAUUUAUAAACCCGCAUUCUGAAAUUAAUCACAUUGAAAUGUCAGAAAAUAAUGGCACUGUAAUAUGCAGCAUAAGAAGAAAAUAUAGGCCAAUGGAUACCUUCUAGAGUCUUCAACCAGUGACAUGUGGGCAAACACUGACUCAACCAACAUGUAGACUGUUGGCCUAAUAAGUGCCAUUUCUUAGCUAAAUGUUUUACCCUAUCUAGCACCCAGGUGAGUGUUCAGUAAGAAGGAACAUGCUGACUCUGAAUUUGAAGGACCACCCUAGGAUCAAUUUAACUAAAUGAUAAGUCCUAUAAAUAUUUGAGAAUUCUGUAUCUAAUUCAUAUAUUACUUGAUUGUAUGUUUAAUUGUAUGUUAAGGUUAAACUGUGCAUUUAAUUGCCCCCCUGAAUAAUUUAGUACAUAAUUUCUAUAAUACUCCUGUCAUUCAAGCUGAAAACACAACUCCAAGUUUACAAAUAAGGAAAAUUAAGACACAGCGAAGUGAUGUGGCCUCAGAGCAAAGAAUGAAUUAUAACUUCAGGAACCUAUUGCCCACAACUGCUCUAUGCUGAAUGUAUGAACUGCUCUACUCCUUAUCAGAAGAUUAAAUAUAUCAAUGUACA